UACGGAGGGUGCGAGCGUUAUCCGGAAUUACUGGGCUUAAAGGGUGCGUAGGCGGCCAGGUAAGUCAGGAGUGAAAGUUUGCGGCUCAACCGUAAAAUUGCUUUUGAUACUGCCAGGCUAGAAUUAGGAUGAGGUCAGCGGAAUGUGGCAUGUAGCGGUGAAAUGCAUAGAUAUGCCAUAGAACACCAAUUGCGAAGGCAGCUGGCUAGACCUGGAUUGACGCUGAGGCACGAAAGCGUGGGGAGCGAACAGG
rnacentral:rRNA from 1 species